rnacentral:rRNA from 1 species
AGCGUAGGUGGCUUGAUAAGUCAGAUGUGAAAGCCCCGGGCUUAACCUGGGAACGGCAUCUGAUACUGUUAGGCUAGAGUAGGUGAGAGGAAGGUAGAAUUCCAGGUGUAGCGGUGAAAUGCGUAGAGAUCUGGAGGAAUACCGAUGGCGAAGGCAGCCUUCUGGCAUCAUACUGACACUGAGGUUCGAAAGCGUGGGUAGCAAACAG